rnacentral:rRNA from 1 species
UACGUAGGGUGCGAGCGUUGUCCGGAAUUAUUGGGCGUAAAGGGUGCGUAGGCGGUUUGGUAAGUCUUAUGUGAAAUCUACAGGCUCAACUUGUAGUCUGCAUGAGAAACUGCCGGGCUUGAGUGUGGGAGAGGUGAGUGGAAUUCCUGGUGUAGCGGUGAAAUGCGUAGAUAUCAGGAGGAACACCUGUGGCGAAAGCGGCUCACUGGACCAUAACUGACGCUGAUGCACGAAAGCUAGGGGAGCAAACAGG